GUCCGACAAGAAUCAGGAUUCCCAGCGCGCGACAGGAGUGGAUCCGCUGUCCUUAUAUGGGCUGCGCUCGCGCUGCUCACACAAACAGCGCGUGAGAUAUUCCUCGUUCUCCGGAACCUCGCUUUACGACAUCACCUUCCCGCACCUCCCCGACCCACGCUGCCUGAACCGAGCGCGGAGAGCCGGUAGAGAGAGGGAGGACCGGACGGAGCUACGCGGUACCUGCGCUGCUACUGUUACCGUGUUUGCAGAGCAGAACGCUGGUGUUAGUUCCUGUCUGUUCUAGUGCUCAUUUAAAGCACAGCAGCAGCACAGCAGACAGAGCAUGUGUGUUAGAGGAAGAGGUCAUGAGACUGUCAUCACUGAUUCAAUCCUCCACCUAAAGAAAGACCCUGCUGUUCUCCUGAGCCGAGCUCACUGCAGUGGUGAUGAAGAGGAUGCAGACAUGCCAGCACAAUCAGCAGGUUCAGACUGUGUCCAAUCAGACCCCAACUUUCACAGACACACCGCUUAUCACACUACGCCCUGUGGAAAUAGAAAUGAAAAAUCCCAGAUCACAUGUUUGAGGAGAAUUCUUCUGGACUGCUUGUAGUGACGGGAAAGAUGAAGUUUAUAAACUCGGCAGAUGAUGAAGUGAUGCUUGAGGUCCCAUGACUUGCAAUUAUAGGUCAGAGGAGCUGCAGUUGCUGCAAGGCUGUGGCUAUUGUCGAAGCAGAUGACUGUAAGGUUUCUACUGCCUGGAUCUCUGGUAUGUAAGGUGUUGUCAUCAUUCAGCCUAUUGUAGCAGCUCGACUGUGUAACCCAGUUUUGCCUCAAUUUGGGUGUCCUGUUUUGUAAGGACAGGCUGUUUAAUGGGAGGGUGACAUCUUGUAAUCACUGGAAAUGAUUCAAGUAGCAAGGAGAAAGUACCACGUCGGAAGAUGUAUUUGGAUUACACUUCCUAGAUUUCAUCGUUGAACCAUACACAGAAUUUUUUACCACUAGCUUGACAUAAAUCUUGCCUGUAAAGUAUUUACAGACAUGAGGUAACAAACUCCUCAUUGCUGGACAAUCAGCUUAUCAUUCAGCUACAUGUGACAGCUUGUAUACAUGGGAUGGCAGAUCUCAGGGGUGAAUAAUUCAGUAGCAGCAGAGCGGUCCAGCUCUCAGGGCAGGCUGCCCAGACGCACAGUAAUAGCUUUAGCAUAAACAACACCUCCAAACUUGCUCCAGGUGGCCUCUUCUACCAAUAGACAGGCUGCCUGAGAGAUCCACGAUGAGGGGAGAGCGCCCAACUCUCUCCCUCCUUCUCCCUCCCUCUCCUGCUAUACCUUUCCUGAUGAAAAAGGCCCCAGAAACAGUCUGCAUCAGCAAAGAUCAAUGAUGAGACGCUCAGCUAACUGUGCGGUUGUAGCGGUGCUCCCUGCACACCGAAUCUGGAAAAGUAGGAUGCCUGUUAUCCAAUGGAAAGUCAGACCUUUCCCAUUUUCCUUGGAUCAUGCCGCUAUUAGCAUGAAGUCAUUUUUCAGCGUCUGUGGAAAACAAAGAAUAACAAUUAUACGACCGCUACUAAUACAAAAUAGCCUGAAGACAUCUCUGAUGUGUUUCAGAGCAACUGGAGUAAAAUGGUGAUUUAUUUUCUCUGGCAAAUCUUUGUGUAUUUUGUACUGGAGCAAAUUCUUACAGCAACCAACGGGAAAUAAAUGCCGCUGGUUCUGUUGUUAGACACAUGUAGGUGCCCUGCUGACCUCUCUAUGAUCUGGAUGAAUGUGGGGUCAGAGAGGGCAAUUACAAGACAUAGAUUGAAUUUCAUAAAAACAACCAGCUCACACUAAAAAUAAUGCCUUGGUUUAAGAAGACAGAAGCAUUUUUUUUUUUAUCAAGAAGAUCCCUCAAAUUCCCCUUAAAGAGGACAUACAGGUGUUAUUCACCUGAAUAAUGACAUCAGUAACAAAAGUGAGAUAUUGUCUUAACUAAAAUGGACCAUGACAUGAAAUGAAAGGCUGACUCUUGCUCUUCCAAUGGGGAGUUAAAACAGAGGAGGAGGGGAAAGAGCGAAGGAUAAGCAGCCAUCCUCCACUACAUUAAGGGAUCAUGCUGCUCCCUGAAAAUGAGUAUUGAUCCUCUUAGGUCCAGGAUCGUUUAGGAGAUUAAUGUGAGUCGUGGUUGAGCUCCAUGGUGCUCCACGCAGGAGCAGGGGAUCAGCUCUGUGGGAUGGCCGAGCCAGAGCAGCCUAUUGGUGAGUGGGGACAGAGGGGCUGGGGGGCAGUGGAGAAGGAGGGGGCACAUCCCUACUAACUGUGCCAUCUGGGCUGUCAGCUAAGAGAAUCAGCUGGAUGUCCAGAGGUCGGAGGGGUGCAACAAAAAAAAAAAGCCACGAGAGAGGGUGUAAACAGAAACAGUCAGGGGAAAGUGAAAGAGUUCAGAGUGUCACAGGCAGACAGGAUGGAUGGAAAGAAAAGAACCAAGCAAAGGAGCAGAGGAAAUGAGAGCAGAACAGAGGAACAGAAAGUGUAAAAAGGAGGACGACAGAAAAGGUACACCCUGCCCUGCUCCAAAUAGAGAGGAGAAGCAGGAGGCAGUGGCAGUGAUAGAGAGAGACACAGCAAAGACUAAACUGCUUAAUCUCUCCCAAGAGACGGCAGCUAAAUGUGAGGUCCUCCUCCCCUUUUUGCAGACCAACAACCCCCACACAACACUAUCACUGCCAUUCUGCUUGGCUGCAGCCAACACUGUUACCCAGCUAAGAGAUACUCACAUACACAGAGUGUAAAAGUGCUCAGGUGGAGCCUUCAGUGCAACUGAUACUGUAGAAAUGAGAAAAGAUCAAUUUUGGCCUCCAAGUGAAGCACCACACUGCAGUCAGAGCUGAGAGAACGAGCAGAGUUUGGAGGAAAAGCCAGUUUUUGAUUUAUAAAAGCUGCUGCUUUUAACGGUCUGGCUCACAGCAAAUAAACAGAUCUCACUGCAAGCCUGAGAAUUUUCUCAUGUCUCUCUCUUGAGGUCAAGUCGGCCCCAUGGGGAAACUCCUAAAACAAAUAACAGCUCAAGUAUUCAGCAGGAGCUGAAUGCAAGCUGUCACACUCUGAAACCUAACAAUGCACUGUUUUGAGGACUAGAUGUCAAUCUCAACUCACUUCCGUCUUCCUCCAUGGAUUUUUUCCUCAAGACGGGAAGAAGCUGACAGGCUUGUUGGAGUGAGCCACACCUCAGAUAUCGGAGUUUGGAGAAAGGUGAGCAGGACAGAAGCAAAACACAGAAGACACACGUUUGAAUAAGAUUCCUCUAUUAGGGCCACUCCACUUAUUCUAAACAGCUCAGUGCACUCAUCAUGAGGAGGGCUAAUCAGCCUGUGAAUACUGAUCUACAGUUGGUUUCUAACAGGGUGCCUGGAUUAGAAGAGGAGGCAUGAGGUUUAAAGGAGCUGGUCAUUUAUUGGUGUCAUUUAACUUGGCACAUUUACUCAAUUACUGACUUAGACACACAUGGGAAGUAUUUUACCUUAAUUCCAUUUCAUGCCACUUUAUAUCUGUGCUUUGUUAUCAUUCUGACUGAAAUGUUAAAACAUUUCCUAUGUUUGCUAGACAAUAGGCAUUUAGAGAAACUAUAGAUACUAUUUACUAUGCAGAUAACCAUUAUACGCACAAAAGACAGUAUGUGUUCAGACAGGAUCAUGAAUUGUUAUUUAAUAAAAUAUUACAAGCUCAAAAGAAAUCUAGCCCUACUUUAAGAAAAUACUAAAUGUAAUGAUUAUUGAACAUAAUUCUAAUACUGUAGUUGUUAUUACUCUGCAGGGCCAUUUCACUGCAGUGAAUAGUUUCACUUUUCAUACUGAAGUUUCUCAAAAACAUAAAUAAGUAACAUUAUCAUUGUGAGAUUUGACUACUUUUACAGCAGGAUCUGAGUACUUUUUCUGCCAUGUAUUCCUCCACCAGACAGACAGGUCUGAGAUGCUAUCAAACAGUAUUACAUGAAGUGUUGGAUUUAUUGUUUCUGACAUGUAAGACCUAGAAAUCAGAGUAUUUCUGCCUGUGCUGCUUUAAUUUUGAUCUCGUAAUGACUCUUCGUGGAGAGGCAAACAUGGAGCUCUGAUGGGGACUGCAGACCAACAAGCCAAUCAGCACGUUAACUGAUGUAGCAGCAGACUACAGUUUCUCAAAGUCUGACAAGCCUGUGCCAUUAAUUCACUCCUUAAUAAACAUCCAUGUCUUUCAUUUCAGUUUCUAGUGCUUUAAGGCUUUUUGAUAAAAUAUAAUUGUAUGACCAUGGUGACCAUCAUGGUAAAACCUUAUUUUAUCAGACUUCUGUCAGACUUACAAAGUGCCUCCAGAGCCAUAGAAACCAUUAUAGAAGUGUUUUUCUGGGUUGAAUUUUACUCUCCGUUACAAAUAAACAGAUUUUUACUUGAAAAA